AAGCCUCAGUGACUAAACUAAACACAGUCAAAACAAGGAUAAAUGGAUUUACAGCACCGAAAAUCCCUCACAGUUGAAAUGUGGUCUUGCUCCCUUUU